UGGGUGUAUUAGGUGCGCUGA
rnacentral:siRNA from 1 species